rnacentral:rRNA from 1 species
UACCCGCAGCUCAAGUGGUGGUCAUUAUUAUUGGGCCUAAAGCGUCCGUAGCUGGCUUGUUAGAUGCCUGGGUAAAUCGAUGCGCUUAACGUAUCGAAUUCCGGGUAGACCGGCAAGCUCGAGACCGGGAGAGGCGUGAGCUACUCAAGGGGUAGGGGUAAAAUCCUGUAAUCCUUUGGGGAGGACCAGUGGCGAAGGCGUCACGCUAGAACGGCUCUGACAGUGAGGGACGAAGCCUUGGGGAGCAAACCGG